AAAAAACCCCUAAAGACCUGCACGAGAGAAUGUACAGACGAGUCGGCGCAAACGUGGCGCCUCUCCUCUGCUCACAUUGCGUAGCACAAAGGAAAUGCUGUACAGAAGAAAACACCGCUGGCUUGUCUGUUGCGGAGCUCAAGGGCAAGUACGAAGUCUUGAGAGCAGAACUUUGCGACAGCAAAAGGCAGAUUCAGAAACUUCGAUCGGAGAACCUGUACGCUGCUGCUUCAUGUGAAAACAUUCGAAAGACUACGCAGGAGCAAUCAAAGCAGGCGCAUAAUGACGCAGUCAGAUCUUUUGCACGCGAUAUGCUGGAUGUUUGCGAUGCCCUGCAAGUGGUCACAAAAAAAGCAGUGAAGUACACGCAGAGAAAUUCUUCCAUACCUAAAAGCGAGGCUGCGGUCCUCGCUGGUGUGAUGCUGACAGAGGAAGUUGCGCUGAAGGUUCUGAAGCGGUAUGGAGUGACGCAAAUGCACACCGAGGUCGGCGCCACCUUUGACGAGGAAAAGGAAGAGAAGCUCUUUACAGUUCCAUCUACACCUUCUCUUAAAGAAGGCAGUGUUGCCGAGAUUGUCAAAAACGGAUACGACAUGAACGGGUCGGUUUUGCGACGUGCUCAAGUUGGGCUGAGUGAGGACCCCUAAGGGUGCAUUACGCGCGGCAGUGCAAGAGGACAUCUUUUCCUUGCCUGAUCCACUUUGCUACUGGGGCCCAUAUUACCAUCACACUCCAUUAUCUAAAAAAGCCAAGAAAGC
rnacentral:misc_RNA from 1 species